AUUGGGCGUAAAGGGUGCGCAGGCGGUCCUGCAAGUCUGGAGUGAAACGUAUGAGCUCAACUCAUGCAUGGCUCUGGAAACUGGAGGACUGGAGAGCAGGAGAGGGCGGUGGAACUCCAUGUGUAGCGGUAAAAUGCGUAGAUAUAUGGAAGAACACCAGUGGCGAAGGCGGCCGCCUGGCCUGUUGCUGAUGCUGAGGCACGAAAGCGUGGGGAGCAAAUAGGAUUAGAUACCCUAGUAGUCCACGCCGUAAACGAUGAGGACCAAGUGUUGGGGGUGAAACCUCAGUGCUGAAGUUAACGCAGUGAGUCCUCCGCCUGGGGAGUAUGCACGCAAGUGUGAAACUCAAAGGAAUUGACGGGGGCCCGCACAAGCGGUGGAGUAUGUGGUUUAAUUCGAAGCAACGCGAAGAACCUUACCAGGCCUUGACAUGGGAUGCGAAGACGCAGAGAUGCGUUGGAGGCUAACAUCCACACAGGUGGUGCAUGGUUGUCGUCAGCUCGUGUCGUGAGAUGUUGGGUCAAGUCCCGCAACGAGCGCAACCCUUGUGGCAUGUUGCUAACAGGAAAGCUGAGGACUCAUGCCAGACUGCCGGUGACAAACCGGAGGAAGGCGGGGAUGACGUCAAAUCAUCAUGCCCCUUAUGGCCUGGGCUACACACGUACUACAAUGGCGGCUACAAAGAGCGGCGAGACAGUAAUGUCGAGCGAAUCUCAUAAAAGCCGUCCCAGUUCGGAUUGGAGCCUGCAACCCGGCUCCAUGAAGUUGGAAUCGCUAGUAAUCGCGGAUCAGCAUGCCGCGGUGAAUACGUUCCCGGGCCUUGCACACACCGCCCGUCAA
rnacentral:rRNA from 1 species